AACUGAUACUACCUGCGGGAACCUGCGGAGGGAUCAUUCAUAAUAGAGUUAUUUAUGGCACUCUAAUAAAAAAUCCAUAUCCACCUUGUGUGAAAUGUUAAAUUCCUUGUCCAUCAUUGGUCAAGGGUUUUUUUAAUAUCAACUCAUUUUUUUUUGUCUGAAAAAUCGUUAUGAAUUUACUUAAUUCAAAACACAACUUUCAACAACGGAUCUCU
rnacentral:misc_RNA from 1 species